CCUACGGGAGACAGCAGUGAGGAAUAGUGGUCAAUGGGCGCGAGCCUGAACCAGCCAAGUAGCGUGAAGGAUGACUGCCCUACGGGUUGUAAACUUCUUUUAUAAAGGAAUAAAGUGAGGCACGUGUGCCGUUUUGUAUGUACGUUAUGAAGAAGGAUCGGCUAACUCCGUGCCAGCAGCCGCGGUAAUACGGAGGAUCCGAGCGUUAUCCGGAUUUAUUGGGUUUAAAGGGAGCGUAGAGGGGUUGUUAAGUCAGUUGUGAAAGUUUGCGGCUCAACCGUAAAAUUGCAAUUGAUACUGGCAGUCUUGAGUACAGUUGCGGUAGGCGGACUUCGUGGUGUAGCGGUGACCUGCUUCGCUCUCACG
rnacentral:rRNA from 1 species